rnacentral:tRNA from 1 species
AACGAAGUGCCUGAAUAAAGGAUUAUUUUGAUAGAGUAAAUUAAGUAAUUUCUAUUACCUUCGUUA